UACGGAGGAUGUGAGCGUUAUCCGGAAUCAUUGGGUUUAAAGGGUGCGUAGGCUGGUAUUUAAGUCAGUGGUGAAAUUUUCGUGCUUAACAUGAGAGCUGCCAUUGAUACUGGGUACCUAGAGUGUAUUUGAUGUGGGCGGAAUGUGUUGUGUAGCGGUGAAAUGCUUAGAUAUGACACAGAACACCGAUAGCGAAGGCAGCUCACAAAGUUACAACUGACGCUGAUGCACGAAAGCGUGGGGAUCAAACAGG
rnacentral:rRNA from 1 species